rnacentral:lncRNA from 1 species
CGAGGACCGGCUGCCUCUAAUUGGAGAUCAUCCCAAAAACCCCAACAUAGAAAUAGAAACCUAGAAAACCACAUAGAAAUAGAUAACAAGAUAACCAACCAAAAACACCCCCUGUCACGCCCUGACCUACUCUACUAUAGAAAAUGACAUCUUACAAGGGUCAGGACGUGACAAAGUCAAACGUCACAACAUGUUCUAAACCGCUCUGGUGACAGACUUUUUUCAUCCACAUGGCUGCUGGCUACGCUUUGCUACCACUGAAAAUAUCGGGAAUAUUGCUCAUUAUUUUGUUUUGUAAGGACCGAAAAAACUUAGGCAUUUGGAGAAGCUAUUCAAAUCUCUUGAUCCAUCCUCUGGCUGCAUUUUAAGUACAUAGGUUCCACAAGGUAGGGGUGUACCCCCUGCUACUCCUCAGUAAGAGCAAGAAGGAAACGUUUUGUCGUCAACUGCAGUGUCCUCACAGUGGUAUGAUGAAUCAGACCUCAAUGGCAGCAAUCCAAAGGUUGUUGGUGGCAAUUGUGAAAGGUAUUUGGACAGAAAUAUGUAUGCAUGUCUUCCUUAAGACCCUAUCCUUCAACCACCACAUCCGUCAGACUGUAAAAAAAACAAAUGAUUCAACUUACGCAAAUUCGCCAAAGUCAGCCUCUCCUGUCCUGCUGGCCGAAACUCUCAUCCAUGCUUUCAUCUUCUCCCGAAUAGACUAUUUCAACUCACUACUCCCUGGCACUAACACAAACUCCCUCUAUAAGCUCAAUGGUUCAAAACUCAGCAGCCCAUCUUCUAACCCACACUAAAUCCUGGCAGAAUAUUACCCCCAUCCUCUGUGGGCUCACUUCAACCAGGUUGAACCCCCAAUAAUCCCUACCACCCAGGAGACCAGCUACACCCCCAUUCUCAACCAGGUUGAACCCCCGAUAUCCCCCACCGCCCAGGAGACCAGCUACACCCGGAUCCCCAACCAGGUUGAACCCCCGAAAACCCCCACCGCCCAGGAGACCAGCUACACCCAAACCGAACCAAAGAAGACGGGAAGAAAGUCCUGUCACCCUCAAAAAACCAUCUAACCCGCUGAGCAUGACAGUCAACCCCCAACCAAGGAAGUAGAAAUAUGACUACAUGCAAAAAGUGUCCAGUGCAUCCGGAGCAAAUGAUUUUCCCUAUUCUCAAAAUUCUUGCCAAUAGAACUUCAAAGGAGGGUCAGGAGCAGAAAGUGAAGUGGAAGCCGUGCUCUGGAUGAACUACCCACCACCAAAGGACCAAGCAGCGGAGAAAGGAGCAGCAGGUGGACUACAGGGAGUCGUGGACAUGGGAGGAAAUUCUGGACGGGGAUGGACCAUGGCACCAGGCUGGUGAACACCGUCGCCCACCGGAACAGGUGGAGGCAGCCAGGAGAGCGGAGAUACGAGAGGCUGAAGAGGACCGGGAACGCUACAGGGGAACACGGCUGGCAAGGAAGCCGGAGAGGCAGCCCCAAGACAUUUUUUGGGGGGGGGCACACGGGGAGUGUGGCUAAGUCAGGUCGUAGACCUAAGCCAAUUCCCUGUGCUUAUUAUGGGGGGCGUAUGGAGUGGAGAGCGCCGGAGUAUGCGGAAGUGCGCACGAUCUCGCCCAUGCGCACGCACAGUCCGGUGUGAGCGAUCCCAGCCCC